CAACCGGAAAUGCGUCUGUAUAAAACCCCGAACUUGAUGCUGAGCUCGUUGAAACUGCGGCAGGACCUCAGCGGUACCACCUGACCCACCGGUUACAAAAAGAAACCAGCGGAACAAUAGUAAAGGGAAGCAUCGUGGUACAAACAGACUGCAACAGGAUGGAGAAAUCCAGCAGCCAGUACGACUCGUUCCUCUUCUGGAGGCAGCCGAUCCCGACCCUUGACCUGUCGGAGUUGGAGGAUCUGGGAUUCUCCGUCGGCGAUCCAAUCAGCAGAAGCAAGGCGAAGGACAAGACGUCCCAGCUGCGCAGACAGAACCAUGAGGACCAGGAGUUGUCUGAGUUUUCCUCCUUUAAUUACUGGAGAGCUCCCAUUGCUGAUGUGGACGCUCUGCUGGCUGACCUGAACCUGCUGUCCUGAACCCAGAUCAGCCCCACUUCAUCCAGAACCGUCAAUAAUCUGAGACGAGACCUCCUAAUUCUGCAACCAGACUAAAGUUCACCUGAUUAUUUAAGGAUCAAAUGACUUCCUGUCCCAUUUAGUCUGCUUCAUCUGGUAUGAAAUAAGACUUUAUUUAACAUCCUGUAGUUUGAUUUUUGUGUUAUGUGUUAACAUUUGUGCCUUUUUUUGUUUUCUUAGGAUCUGCUGUACCAACAGCAAACUAUUCAUGUUUUUUAUUUAUGCAUGUAUUUAUUUAUUUUUGCCACUUGCUGUUGUUGAGCAAGACUGAAACUUCAGAACAAACCUGACACCAGAAAUAAAAUGCUUCUUUAAAAAAAAAAAGAAAAAAAGAGAAGAGUCCAGUUUGAUUUAUUUAAAUAAAAUGUAUCCAGUUUUUCCCAAAAAUAAUUAGAAUCUGAGUAAAACAUUAAAGUAAUAAACCUAUUCUGUAUAUCUGUAGUAAGUUUAGACUAAAGCGCCAUAAAAACUGAAACAAAACAAAAUCCAGACGGUCACAGAGUGUGAUUUUUAAUAAGUUGUAUUUUAUUGCAAUAAACAAGUACUUUAAAGUAAUAAAAAGAAACCUUAAUAUUUGGAACAGAAACAUUUGUUUACUUUUACAUGGCAUGCAAGGAGCAGGAAGGCAUUUGAAUACAAAAGUAUUGUAUAAUUUCUAAUCACAUUUCUCUCAAGAUUCAAAUAAAUUAUCAGCAGAAAAUGACAUGUUUUAAAAUAAAAUAAAAAGUGUUUUCACCCUUAAAAGAAAAAUCCAGUUG